UGGGGAAUAUUGGACAAUGGGCGCAAGCCUGAUCCAGCCAUGCCGCGUGAGUGAUGAAGGCCCUAGGGUUGUAAAGCUCUUUCAGUGGGGAAGAUAAUGACGGUACCCACAGAAGAAGCCCCGGCUAACUUCGUGCCAGCAGCCGCGGUAAUACGAAGGGGGCUAGCGUUGUUCGGAAUUACUGGGCGUAAAGCGCGCGUAGGCGGAUUGGUCAGUUGGGGGUGAAAUCCCGGGGCUCAACCCCGGAACUGCCUUCAAUACUGCCAGUCUAGAGGUCGAGAGAGGUGAGUGGAAUUCCGAGUGUAGAGGUGAAAUUCGUAGAUAUUCGGAAGAACACCAGUGGCGAAGGCGACUCACUGGACUGGUAUUGACGCUGAGGUGCGAAAGCGUGGGGAGCAAACAGGAUUAGAUACCCCUGUAGUCC
rnacentral:rRNA from 1 species